rnacentral:rRNA from 1 species
AACGCUAGCUACAGGCUUAACACAUGCAAGUCGAGGGGCAGCAUAAACUUAGCUUGCUAAGUUUGAUGGCGACCGGCGCACGGGUGAGUAACACGUAUCCAACCUUCCGUUUACUCAGGGAUAGCCUUUCGAAAGAAAGAUUAAUACCUGAUAGUAUGGUGAGAUUGCAUGAUAGCACCAUUAAAGAUUUAUUGGUAAACGAUGGGGAUGCGUUCCAUUAGGUAGUAGGCGGGGUAACGGCCCACCUAGCCGACGAUGGAUAGGGGUUCUGAGAGGAAGGUCCCCCACAUUGGAACUGAGACACGGUCCAAACUCCUACGGGAGGCAGCAGUGAGGAAUAUUGGUCAAUGGGCGAGAGCCUGAACCAGCCAAGUAGCGUGAAGGAUGAAGGUCCUACAGAUUGUAAACUUCUUUUAUACGGGAAUAAAGUUUCCUACGUGUAGGAUUUUGUAUGUACCGUAUGAAUAAGCAUCGGCUAACUCCGUGCCAGCAGCCGCGGUAAUACGGAGGAUGCGAGCGUUAUCCGGAUUUAUUGGGUUUAAAGGGAGCGCAGACGGGAGAUUAAGUCAGUUGUGAAAGUUUGCGGCUCAACCGUAAAAUUGCAGUUGAUACUGGUUUCCUUGAGUGCAGUUGAGGCAGGCGGAAUUCGUGGUGUAGCGGUGAAAUGCUUAGAUAUCACGAAGAACUCCGAUUG